UACGUAGGGUGCAAGCGUUAAUCGGAAUUACUGGGCGUAAAGCGUGCGCAGGCGGUUUUGUAAGACUGUCGUGAAAUCCCCGGGCUUAACCUGGGAAUGGCGAUGGUGACUGCAAGGCUAGAGUUUGGCAGAGGGGGGUAGAAUUCCACGUGUAGCAGUGAAAUGCGUAGAGAUGUGGAGGAACACCGAUGGCGAAGGCAGCCCCCCUGGGUCAAAAACUGACGCUCAUGCACGAAGGAACGUGGGGGAGCAAACAGG
rnacentral:rRNA from 1 species